CCUACGGGUGGCAGCAGUGAGGAAUAUUGGUCAAUGGGCGGGAGCCUGAACCAGCCAAGUCGCGUGAAGGAAGAAGGUACUUAGUAUUGUAAACUUCUUUUGUCGGGGAACAAAGGCGGAGACGCGUCUCCGGAUGAGUGUACCCGAAGAAAAAGCAUCGGCUAACUCCGUGCCAGCAGCCGCGGUAAGACGGGGGAUGGGAGUGUAAACCGGAUUUGUGGGGUUUAAAGGGUGCGCAGUUGGGGGAUCAAGGCAGCGGUAAAAUGUCGGGGCGCAACCCCGGCCGGCCGUUGAAACUGGUUUUCUAGAGUUGUAGAGAAGUAUGCGGAAUUCGUGGUGUAGCGGUGAAAUGCAUAGAUAUCACGAAGAACUCUGAUUGCGAAGGCAGCAUACCGGCUCCAUACUGACGCUGAGGCACGAAAGCGUGGGGAUCGAACAGGAUUAGAUACCCCAGUAGUC
rnacentral:rRNA from 1 species